rnacentral:rRNA from 1 species
UACAGAGGUCUCAAGCGUUGUUCGGAUUCAUUGGGCGUAAAGGGUGCGUAGGUGGCGCGCUAAGUCAGGUGUGAAAUUUCGGAGCUUAACUCCGAAACUGCAUUUGAUACUGGCGUGCUUGAGGACUGGAGAGGAGACUGGAAUUCAUGGUGUAGCAGUGAAAUGCGUAGAGAUCAUGAGGAAGACCAGUGGCGAAGGCGGGUCUCUGGACAACACCUGACACUGAGGCACGAAAGCUAGGGGAGCAAACGGG